CUGGGGCCCGGGGACACGGGCUCAGUCAAUGAUCAUGGGCUCGGUGUCCAACCAGCAGUUUGCAGGUGACUGAGCCAAGGCAGCAGAGAAGGCACCAGAAGAGUUGCCGGCUGACACGACCGGAGAGUGUCACCAACGUGCGCAUGGGGUUCGGCUUCCUGUCUAUGACCGCUUGCGCCGGGGUUGCGCUCGACCCCACGAUGGACGUCUUUGUGCACCAGAGCAGGCUACACACGGAAGGUUUCCGAAGCCUCAAGGAGGGUGAGGCAGUGGAGUUCACCUUUAAGAAGUCUGCCAAGGGUCUGGAGUCCAUCCACGUCACUGGCCCUGGUGGCAUGUUCUGUAUUGGGAGUGAGCGACGGCCAAAGGAGAAGAGCAUGCAGAAACGAAGAUCCAAAGGAGACAGGUGCUACAACUGUGGUGGGCUAGACCAUCAUGCCAAGGAGUGCAAGCUGCCACCCCAGCCCAAGAAGUGCCACUUUUGCCAAAGCAUCAGCCAUAUGGUGGCCCCAUGUCCACUGAAGGCCCAGCAGGGCCCCAGUUCUCAGGGAAAACCUGUCUAUUUCCGGGAGGAGGAAGAAGAGAUCCACAGACCUACCCUGCUCCCAGAAGCCCAGAAUUGAGGCCCAGGAGUAGGGGUUAAUCUUUGGCUAAUGGGGAGUUUCAGGGAGGAGGCACCAAUCCGCAGAGUGGAGAAAGUGGGAAUCAGGUGGGUUGCGUGGGUAGCUUGCACUAUCAUGUUUCAGGCCGGGGUUCCCAGUGUCACCCUGUCUUUCCUUGGAGGGAAGGAAAGGGUGAGGCAAAGGAACUCCUACAACCCUCCAUCUAAAAGCAAGUGAGAGCUUUUGUGGGGAACCACCCUAGAAUCUGCAUGCUUUAUCUGAGGCUCUAACCAGCUCUGCCGAGUGGCUGUUAUAGGGGAGAAGCCCUUCUUCUGCAGAAGGCUGUGUGACAUUUCCCUUGCUAGACAGGAUGUGAAACAAGUGUCAAACCAAGAUUAAUGAACCUCACCCUCCAGAAGGUUCUGUAGAAGAGACUCUCAGGUUAUUUUCACAGGGCGCUUCCUCAUAACCCAGUCCUGCCGUGCUGUGCUGGGAAGAGUCUCUAACAACGGGUUGUGAUGACAGGCAAAGAGGGUGGUUGCGGGGACAACUGCAGACCUGCUGCUCCCACCUCACUCCCAGCCCUUUCUGGGCCAAUGGGAUUUUAAUUUAUUUGCUCCCUUGGGUAACUGCACCUUGGAUCCCACUUUCUCCAGGAUGCCAACUGCACUAUGUGCGAAUGACGUAUCUUGUGCGUUUUUUUUUCUUAAUAUAAAUAUUGGGUUUGUAUUUUUGUAUAUUUUAAUCCUAAGGCUCUCAUUCCUGCACUGUGUUCUCAGGUACAUUAGCAAUCUCAGGGAUAAGUCCAUAGCAGCUCCAGGUCUGCACAGCAGGAAUACUUAACUUUGUUUUGAUCACAAUGGAGACCAACCAUUUGGAGUGCACAGCCUGUUGAACUACCUCCUUUUUGCCGAUAACAGCUGCCUUUUCUGCCUUUUCAUCCUUGAAAAAUGUCUCACAGGUUUUGAUUGAGCUGCCCUGAGACUUGCUGUCCAGGUAUGGGAAUAUGAGGCAAGGACUCAAAUCCUUAGCUUUUCACAAUCUUGGCUUCCAGAGAGACUCAUGACUGUGGGCCUCUGUGGCAAGUGUCCUGCCCCACUGUAGUGUGAUGUCUGAUAACUGGGGGGUGUUUCAUUUACGUGCUUUGAGAUCACCACAAACCUACCUCAUUGUGUUGAAACGGGACAAAUGCAAUAGAACACAUUGGGAGGUGUGUGUGUGUCUGAUCCUGGUUUCUUGUUUCCCCCAAGUGCUGCCCCCACCCCUAGUUAAUUGUAUUCGUCUGGCCUUUGUAGGACUUUACUGUCUGAGUUGGUGAUUGCUAGGUGGUCUAGUUGUGUAAAUGUAAAUGUGUUGGUCUUCAUGUUCUUUUGGGGUUUUGUUUACAAAACUUUUGUUGUAUUGAGAGAAAAAUAGGCAAAGCAUCUUUGAUAGAAAGUUCUGCACCAGACUACACCAUCUGAGACCUAAAUGUGGGGUCCCCUUCUCAAAGUGAGCCUCUGGGAACCAUGGCUUUCCCUCCUGUGCUCCUCCUGUCUGCCACUCUGGACCACAAUGACCUUACAACCAGCCCCUCUUCUCCCUCAUAAGAAAACUCAGGCUCAGUUACUUCUUUGAGCAUCUCUACAGUUUUUGAAAGACCUAUGUAAAAGUUCUGAAGAAGCCAUCAUGAACUUCAUUCUCUCUCCCCUUGUUCCCUAACUCAGUGAGGAGUUUUGGUUGGUGCUUUGGAGACUGGGCCUCAGGUUCCUGGCUAUCCUUCGGCCUCAGACUACUCUGUGCAGGGACUGCAAGUGAGCCAUUUCUCCCUGGAAAGACCAUUUCAUGGUGUGAUUUGCUUUUGGACGAAUCCAACCAUUGUAAUCUGUCACCCUUAGGUAGAGAGAAGCAGUUGUGGGGCCUUUCAUGUAGAAAGUGGAAUCUGAAGAUCAGGAAGGGACUAUGAAUGUACAUACGGUUGAGACACUCAGGAACUUAAUGCCGGUGCAAGAAACUUAUGUCAAAGUGGCCACAAGAUUGUUACUAGGAGAUGGACAAAUGUAUCUCCAUGUUUACUACUAGAAACCAAAGCUUUGUGAGAAAUCUUGAAUUUAUGGGGAGGGUGGGAAAGUGUGUACUUGCCUGUCUUUUCCCUGAUAUCUUUCCUGAACUGCAGGAGCUAAGCCCUCUGGGGCUUUGGUGACCCCAUCCCUGGGGUGUUUUAUUUCAUGGUUGAGUUUUGCCCUCCCCAGGUACUUAUAUUUCUAUUGUAUAAUCAUUUUGAAACACAUGCUGACUUUACCUUCCCUUCUCUUCCCUGGGAAAAAUAAAGACUUAUUGGUACUCCAACUGGGGCCCGGGGACACGGGCUCAGUCAAUGAUCAUGGGCUCGGUGUCCAACCAGCAGUUUGCAGGUGACUGAGCCAAGGCAGCAGAGAAGGCACCAGAAGAGUUGCCGGCUGACACGACCGGAGAGUGUCACCAACGUGCGCAUGGGGUUCGGCUUCCUGUCUAUGACCGCUUGCGCCGGGGUUGCGCUCGACCCCACGAUGGACGUCUUUGUGCACCAGAGCAGGCUACACACGGAAGGUUUCCGAAGCCUCAAGGAGGGUGAGGCAGUGGAGUUCACCUUUAAGAAGUCUGCCAAGGGUCUGGAGUCCAUCCACGUCACUGGCCCUGGUGGCAUGUUCUGUAUUGGGAGUGAGCGACGGCCAAAGGAGAAGAGCAUGCAGAAACGAAGAUCCAAAGGAGACAGGUGCUACAACUGUGGUGGGCUAGACCAUCAUGCCAAGGAGUGCAAGCUGCCACCCCAGCCCAAGAAGUGCCACUUUUGCCAAAGCAUCAGCCAUAUGGUGGCCCCAUGUCCACUGAAGGCCCAGCAGGGCCCCAGUUCUCAGGGAAAACCUGUCUAUUUCCGGGAGGAGGAAGAAGAGAUCCACAGACCUACCCUGCUCCCAGAAGCCCAGAAUUGAGGCCCAGGAGUAGGGGUUAAUCUUUGGCUAAUGGGGAGUUUCAGGGAGGAGGCACCAAUCCGCAGAGUGGAGAAAGUGGGAAUCAGGUGGGUUGCGUGGGUAGCUUGCACUAUCAUGUUUCAGGCCGGGGUUCCCAGUGUCACCCUGUCUUUCCUUGGAGGGAAGGAAAGGGUGAGGCAAAGGAACUCCUACAACCCUCCAUCUAAAAGCAAGUGAGAGCUUUUGUGGGGAACCACCCUAGAAUCUGCAUGCUUUAUCUGAGGCUCUAACCAGCUCUGCCGAGUGGCUGUUAUAGGGGAGAAGCCCUUCUUCUGCAGAAGGCUGUGUGACAUUUCCCUUGCUAGACAGGAUGUGAAACAAGUGUCAAACCAAGAUUAAUGAACCUCACCCUCCAGAAGGUUCUGUAGAAGAGACUCUCAGGUUAUUUUCACAGGGCGCUUCCUCAUAACCCAGUCCUGCCGUGCUGUGCUGGGAAGAGUCUCUAACAACGGGUUGUGAUGACAGGCAAAGAGGGUGGUUGCGGGGACAACUGCAGACCUGCUGCUCCCACCUCACUCCCAGCCCUUUCUGGGCCAAUGGGAUUUUAAUUUAUUUGCUCCCUUGGGUAACUGCACCUUGGAUCCCACUUUCUCCAGGAUGCCAACUGCACUAUGUGCGAAUGACGUAUCUUGUGCGUUUUUUUUUCUUAAUAUAAAUAUUGGGUUUGUAUUUUUGUAUAUUUUAAUCCUAAGGCUCUCAUUCCUGCACUGUGUUCUCAGGUACAUUAGCAAUCUCAGGGAUAAGUCCAUAGCAGCUCCAGGUCUGCACAGCAGGAAUACUUAACUUUGUUUUGAUCACAAUGGAGACCAACCAUUUGGAGUGCACAGCCUGUUGAACUACCUCCUUUUUGCCGAUAACAGCUGCCUUUUCUGCCUUUUCAUCCUUGAAAAAUGUCUCACAGGUUUUGAUUGAGCUGCCCUGAGACUUGCUGUCCAGGUAUGGGAAUAUGAGGCAAGGACUCAAAUCCUUAGCUUUUCACAAUCUUGGCUUCCAGAGAGACUCAUGACUGUGGGCCUCUGUGGCAAGUGUCCUGCCCCACUGUAGUGUGAUGUCUGAUAACUGGGGGGUGUUUCAUUUACGUGCUUUGAGAUCACCACAAACCUACCUCAUUGUGUUGAAACGGGACAAAUGCAAUAGAACACAUUGGGAGGUGUGUGUGUGUCUGAUCCUGGUUUCUUGUUUCCCCCAAGUGCUGCCCCCACCCCUAGUUAAUUGUAUUCGUCUGGCCUUUGUAGGACUUUACUGUCUGAGUUGGUGAUUGCUAGGUGGUCUAGUUGUGUAAAUGUAAAUGUGUUGGUCUUCAUGUUCUUUUGGGGUUUUGUUUACAAAACUUUUGUUGUAUUGAGAGAAAAAUAGGCAAAGCAUCUUUGAUAGAAAGUUCUGCACCAGACUACACCAUCUGAGACCUAAAUGUGGGGUCCCCUUCUCAAAGUGAGCCUCUGGGAACCAUGGCUUUCCCUCCUGUGCUCCUCCUGUCUGCCACUCUGGACCACAAUGACCUUACAACCAGCCCCUCUUCUCCCUCAUAAGAAAACUCAGGCUCAGUUACUUCUUUGAGCAUCUCUACAGUUUUUGAAAGACCUAUGUAAAAGUUCUGAAGAAGCCAUCAUGAACUUCAUUCUCUCUCCCCUUGUUCCCUAACUCAGUGAGGAGUUUUGGUUGGUGCUUUGGAGACUGGGCCUCAGGUUCCUGGCUAUCCUUCGGCCUCAGACUACUCUGUGCAGGGACUGCAAGUGAGCCAUUUCUCCCUGGAAAGACCAUUUCAUGGUGUGAUUUGCUUUUGGACGAAUCCAACCAUUGUAAUCUGUCACCCUUAGGUAGAGAGAAGCAGUUGUGGGGCCUUUCAUGUAGAAAGUGGAAUCUGAAGAUCAGGAAGGGACUAUGAAUGUACAUACGGUUGAGACACUCAGGAACUUAAUGCCGGUGCAAGAAACUUAUGUCAAAGUGGCCACAAGAUUGUUACUAGGAGAUGGACAAAUGUAUCUCCAUGUUUACUACUAGAAACCAAAGCUUUGUGAGAAAUCUUGAAUUUAUGGGGAGGGUGGGAAAGUGUGUACUUGCCUGUCUUUUCCCUGAUAUCUUUCCUGAACUGCAGGAGCUAAGCCCUCUGGGGCUUUGGUGACCCCAUCCCUGGGGUGUUUUAUUUCAUGGUUGAGUUUUGCCCUCCCCAGGUACUUAUAUUUCUAUUGUAUAAUCAUUUUGAAACACAUGCUGACUUUACCUUCCCUUCUCUUCCCUGGGAAAAAUAAAGACUUAUUGGUACUCCAA
rnacentral:lncRNA from 1 species